UCGGGAAUUUUGGGCAAUGGGCGCAAGCCUGACCCAGCAACGCCGCGUGAAGGAUGAAGUCCCUCGGGAUGUAAACUUCGAAAGAAUGGGAAGAAUCAAUGACGGUACCAUUUAUAAGCCCCGGCUAACUCCGUGCCAGCAGCCGCGGUAAUACGGAGGGGGCAAGCGUUGUUCGGAUUUACUGGGCGUAAAGGGCGCGUAGGCGGCUUUGUAAGUUACUUGUGAAAUCUCUGAGCUUAACUCAGAACUGCCAAGUAAUACUGCAGAGCUAGAGUGCAGAAGGGGCAACUGGAAUUCUUGGUGUAGCGGUGAAAUGCGUAGAUAUCAAGAGGAACACCUGAGGCGAAGGCGGGUUGCUGGGCUGACACUGACGCUGAGGCGCGAAAGCUAGGGGAGCAAA
rnacentral:rRNA from 1 species